rnacentral:rRNA from 1 species
UAGGCUGCAACUCGCCUACAUGAAGUCGGAAUUGCUAGUAAUCGCGGAUCAGCAUGCCGCGGUGAAUACGUUCCCGGGCCUUGUACACACCGCCCGUCACACCAUGGGAGUCGGUAACACCCGAAGCCUGUAGUCUAACCGCAAGGAGGACGCAGUCGAAGGUGGGAUUGAUGACUGGGGUGAAGUCGUAACAAGGUACC